GCGAUGCACUCCCAAUCUAACUUUGAGGCAUUAGAUUAGGAUUGGAUCACUGCUCAGUUUCAGAGUCAUAGUAACCUUGUUAUGCAAUUCUCCUGCUGGGCAGCACGCUGUAGUACAGUAGUUUGCAGCUGAUCUAGGUCAGAAUUUGAAUUCUGAUAAACAAGAUGUGCGCGUUUUCUUGUUGCCGAUUUAAAAGAAAAGCCUUUGCAUCAUAUAAGCAAUAAAAAUAAGUGCUGGACUAUUAACUCUAUACUCGCUACCGACAUUUCCAUCUUCAUGAUUAACAUCUGAGUUGCAUUCAAAUUACCAAAUUCAAAAGACCCGCCUUUGGUGAAGACAAAAUUUGUGGUGCUUUUAUACACAUAUAAAGAGCUUAUAUCAGAGGAUAGACGUACUUCAUUGGGAGCC